UGGGGAAUAUUGCGCAAUGGGGGCAACCCUGACGCAGCAACGCCGCGUGAUUGAAGAAGGCCUUCGGGUUGUAAAGAUCUUUAAUUAGGGACGAAACAAAUGACGGUACCUAAAGAAUAAGCUCCGGCUAACUACGUGCCAGCAGCCGCGGUAAUACGUAGGGAGCAAGCGUUAUCCGGAUUUACUGGGUGUAAAGGGCGAGUAGGCGGGCUGGCAAGUUGGGAGUGAAAUCCCGGGGCUUAACCCCGGAACUGCUUUCAAAACUGCUGGUCUUGAGUGAUGGAGAGGCAGGCGGAAUUCCGUGUGUAGCGGUGAAAUGCGUAGAUAUACGGAGGAACACCAGUGGCGAAGGCGGCCUGCUGGACAUUAACUGACGCUGAGGAGCGAAAGCGUGGGGAGCAAACAGG
rnacentral:rRNA from 1 species